GUCACUCCUAGUGCUCCAACAGAAGGGACUGAUGAUAAUUUCACCAAGCCGUGGUAUUUCCCCGAUUCUCCUACUGUUUAGCCUCGGCCGUGCGCAAUAUGCACCGAGAUCCCAUAGUCGUGUGCCAUCAUAAUCCAGAGGCAAUCUGAAUCUAUAUAUCAUUUAAGUUACAAUGUAUUUUCACUGUUGUUCUCAUGUGUCACUGCCAUGUAUUGGGUUUACUGUUGUGUUGUUUAUCACCAUGUUGUUUCUUUCUACCAAUCAUGUAAUCUGUUCACUCUUGUCCUGUGUUUUGUUUUGGUGUCGGUGCACUCUUGUCUUAUGUUACCAUAAUGUAUGUUGAAUGCAAAUCAUAUAAUCAGGUUAGUACAUUAGUUAAUCAAUAUCUUGUUUGGUGUGGUGUUUGAGAUAAUUGAUUUGAGGUGAAGGGAGAAAAUAUUUCUCAAACACCAAUGUUGUUACAAGUUUUGAUGCAAAGAAAAGAAGUAUGAAACAUGCAAAUUCCAAAUUCAGGAAAUCGUACUCAAGGAUCGAACGACCAUGAAAAUUAUAAAAGUCCAUACUCAUGUCAUCCAAGCGCGAGGUUGUUGUAGUAUAUCAUGAACAAAAUUUGUUGUAACCUUUAUAAAUGAACUAUAAAUGGCCACUAACAUUCAGAUCCCAGGUGGCUUCAUUUGUUGAUGUCAUGAAGGCGGCAUGAACGUUGAUCUUUAUCCAGAUUUCUCGGGGGAUCAUGGCCCUGAAUUUCGGUACAUCGAUCAGUCUUAACAGUAUUAGAUGUAUCCAAAUGUAUAGAAAACUACAGUAAUUAACUCGUGUGGUGAUAUCUAAAGUAGUGGAAGGUCUUCGGUAUAUUAAUUUUAUGCAAUAAAAAUAAUCUUUAAAAAUGUACAGUAGCGAUCAUUGUCCGACCAUAUUUGAAGUACAAAGUUAUUAGUUGUCUUAACAUGAAAUAUUUUCAUAAUAAUAUUUGCGGCAUUCUUUUGUAGUACUUAUCUCUUGGAUUUGCAGUAUAGCAUAUCUUAUUUUCGUCCAUGUACAUGAUCUUGUUGCAUCAUGAAAUUACUAGUGAUUUUAGGUAUUUUCCGAUUGGGUUAUUCCAGGGAUUAGGAUUGCAAACGUAGUUGAUCUAGUACGACCGACAUCUAGAUGUAUUACACAUGCCUUGUGUAAGGUUUGUCUAAGAUAAGUUUAGAGGAUAACCGAUGAUGUUCUUGAAAGAUUCAGUCCUACUGGGUAUGGAGGAUCAAAAAGAUGAUUUUUCUCUCAUUCUGUAUAGUUGUUUUUUCCAGUUGAACAUCUCUGGUUCAAUGCAUUUUUAUAAUAUUUUUUUGAAAAGCAAUACAAAUACGCAGCAGAGUCCUGCCGUUUCCCAAAAAAAGCAACAAGAUGAUUGAAUUUGGAACAAGGUUACCAGAUAACAUAGCUACUAGGUCAAAAUCGUUGCUAACCUUCCCCGCAAAAAAAAACUUUGCUAUCUUGACACUCAGUAAUAAAAUUGCAUCUUUCUUGUAUCUCAUGCUUUCUUUGUCAAAAUUUACAUAUGCCACUUUUGGCCACUUUUGGCAAUAGAUUUGGUUGUUGCCACCCAAACCAAUUGCAUAGAAGCCUAAAACUCAAUUGCAGUAAGCUUCACAUGUGUGCAUAGCGGUGCCAAACAAAGUCGUUUAGAUAGAAACCCUAUAACUGAAAACCCACUGUUGUGUGAAAAGCUUCGCAGACAUUAAACCUAUGUGCAUUGGUGAGCAUUCUAUCCACAUCUGGUUUGUCGCUUGUUCUUUAUAUCAGUAUCAGCCUUGCAUCCAACUAAUUUAUGACACGUGUAAUUUUUGAAUGGUUUUGUCACACACACGCAUGCACACACGCCCACAGGCACGCACGCGCGCGCACACACACACACUGUGGAUUUAUAUUUUGAAUACUAUUGCCAUCAAAUGUUCGUACUGGAGCAUAGUCUACUCUAUUUUGGUUCUUCAAAGUUAGCAGGAUGACGUAUUAUAAAUUAAGUAUUUAUUGUCUGGAGAAAUCAAAUUACUCAAAUACCGAGGUGUUACAAUUUGUAAAGUAAAGGAAGCCGUAUGAAAUAUUGCAAAUUAAAUUUCAGCAAAGACAAAACAGUCCUAACUUAUCUACCAUACCGCGUAGACUCGUAAGCAACUAAGUAAAUGUUUUUUAGGGUAACAACAGGGCUCUGCUGCAUAUUAUUAGUAUUAUGUUUUGUAAAAAAUACAACUAAGUAAAUGUCUCUCUUAAUUUUGUCCUACACUACUAAGCAGGAAGUUGCAUUGUACACAACUUUGGCAUAAUUGAUCCACAAACUCUAUAAAGUAUACACUACUACAAAACGAGCUAGCAGUGGUGGAUGACAAGUAUAUGCCUUCCACCGAAACAUUUAUCCCAUGACUAACAUGGUAAGAAUUUACUAGUGGAGGGCGGCAUGUUUCGCCCGCUAGUGCACAUCCAAUACCGGUUGUCAGCCCUCUUUUGUACCCACCCUGUUGUCAGCCCUCUUUUGUACCCACCACUGUCUAGAUGAAAUAGCGGUGGCAUGUACCUAUCGGUGCCCGCCAAUAAUGUGACCCCACCUAUAAGCCUUUUCCCAGUAGUGAUAGCAUUUUAAUCUGUUAGGAGGAUUCACCACUAUAAUAGAAAGAUCAAAGGAUCAAGCACCUAAAGAUCAUCAAAGUCCAUACUCUCAUACUUACAAAUAGGUUGUUUUAAUAUACAUGAACGAGGUUCAACCUUUAGAUGUGAACUAAAAUGACCACUAACUAGCAAUCAAUGAUGGCUUCACUAGUUGAUCUAUAUACAUAUUUGUCGGGGUGGUCGCAUCCUUGAAUUCUGGUACAUCGGUCAUUCUUAACAUCACCAGAAAUAUGAAAAUGACUGAAAAAACUUAUAGUAUCUCCAAUAAGGUAAUAUUUACAAUACAUUACGGUCUUGAAGAUACUAAUUUUAUUCAUCUCUGUGAGCCUUCUGUCACAAUCUACCGAGCAACGGACGACUGGGAUGCUUUCUUCACCCGACUGUAGAGAUCAUGCGCCUUGGUUCCACAUGUCAUGGACACAUGCUGACUAUAGAGAUCACGCGCCCUCGGGCCACCCAUCAUCGAGCUUCCAACUGGGUCGCCUGGUUGCGAGCCGUCCGGGCAGAUCAGAUGGCCCAGAGCCGCCCCACGAGGCUCCUGCCGCCAGCCAACUGGCAAUGGAUGGGCAGGAGCCUUUCCUCACCCUCGAAAAGCCCAGGAAGGCGCGCACUCUAGCAUUCUUUAUAUAGGAAUAAUGGGUUAAUUGAUUCAACAGGAUUUACCGAAAUCUUUUGAUUUAAAAAAUUGAUAAUGAUCAUUUUUGGACUAUCCUCCAAUUAUAGUUCAUAACGUUUUUGCAGGAUCAUCACAGUUUUUUUAUGCUUGAUGUAUACAAUGUAAUAAUGCGUCAAUUCUCCAUCAUUAUUUACCGGAAUAUUAUGGAAGAUGUUGUUUUUUCCUCUUUAACUUGACGAAGUAGUAAGAAAAUAGUAUUUAUACCCAUAUUAGUUGUUAUAUUUUAUUUUACUUUUGAUAUAAUUAAAUAUGUAUUUUCUAUGAAGUGUUCUCGUUCAUUUUGACAAGUACUAUUGUAUGUUAUGGAUUCUUGAUGUGGCAAACAAACUGUAUUCCUUUAAUGGUGCUGCUUAAAUGACUACAAUGUGAUUAAGCCUUUUAAACUUGUACUCUGUUGGACAAUGUUAUUUGUUCAUAUUUUAGGAAGUGUUUACCAUUAUGGCUCAUACAAAUAAAAUUAUGAAAAAUUGAUCCUAAAAAAGGCAUGACUAAAUUCUUUUCUACAAUUGUGUUAUUUUAUUUAACACAAAAAUUGUACUGUUUACUAGCCAUAAUGAGAACAUCCAGGAAAUCAUAAAAAGAAGUUAACCAUUUCAAAGUUUGAUCACAAUAAUUAAAGAUGGUGCCCUCGCAUAUGCGAGGAACACUUUGCAAGUGUCAUCUAAAAGAAAACUUAGUAAUUAUAUAUUACCUUUGAGAAAAAUUCAAUUUUUGUGGCUUCCUAAAUCCUAUAUUCCUAAAAAGUUCAUUCCCACUAAAAGCAAAGUAUUCUUAAAAAGUUAAUCCUCUCCACAAGCAAUUCUCUCAACAUGCGCAGCCGACCACCUCAAAAAGUGUUCAAUGUCAGCAUUCACUAUUUUUUAGCCAUGCAUCACAUCAACUACCUUUAAGUUUUACAACAUGCACUCACCAACCUCACCAAGACAUGAAUAUUUGCCACAUCACAAUUAGUCAUGUGCUUAUCGAAGUCAUGCAUCUUAGAAAAACUCAUGUCAUUAGCAUGCCAUCUUAUUGAUGUGGUACAGAUUACUAACUCAAACUGACAGAUCGUUAUGGUGUGUAUUAAAGAGUGAAAAUAUGAAUUGAAGAAUGCAACACGUGCAUACAAGUAUUGGCUAGUGUGUCGUCUAUCUGUAAAUACUAAGGGCAUCGAGGUGUCUUGGGGCAGCAAGCCAUCCACGAUGUACCCAUUGAUGUGCGGAUGCAUUGGCUUGUCCGAAAUCCCGCCAACUGGAUGCAAAGCAGGGGGAGGUGAGCAGGCUUACGAACCCCCACAACGUACUAGCUCGGCACCCCGGUCCAAUCAAAAUAUUCUCUCGGGCACGCACCAUCUCCGGCGCAACUGCAUCUCCACUCCCCACGCUGCAUUCAGGCCGGCCUAGAGGGGACGCGACCGGUCACUAGAGCCAUCAUUGAAUGGGAGUGCUGGCCGAGUGCGCCACCCCCGUCACGUCAUGGUCUCCGCGCCUGUUCAAUGCCAGAGAGACGUGACCGGAUGGGGUGACGAGACGACUAUCUACCGCAUUGAAGUCGUCUGCUCAUCUAUAUGUGUGUCGAUAUUAAACAAACGUGAUAGCCAAGAAAACCACUCCAGUGUCCUCCCUGAAACAACUUGAUGUUUGGCUUGGUCGAAUCCCUUUAUUUAUACGUGGCCGCGCACAACAUGAUCCGCACCGCACCACGUCCAUUUUCGUUCCUCCUCUGUGCACUACCUUUGCCACGACAAGCUCUAGAGCGAAGUGGGAGACCCUCUCGGCGGAGAAGAAGCACGAUUGGCCAUGCUUGCGGCUGACUAGCAGCACCGUCAUGUGUGACGAAUAGAGGCUGGUUCAUCGGAGGUGAGAGACGACGACAUGAUGAUGAGUCGGCACCCCCGCUCACACAGGUCCACGGCGAAACCACACUUCAACAUCGUCAUGAUGGAGGAGCAGCCGACAGCACCAGGGUUGAUGUUUUGGCUGGCGCCGGAGGAGCAAGGCUACAACCUUUCCAACCUCCCGCAUUACCGGCUGGCUGAGGGACAAAAUCUAUGGCGACUUCGGAAGCGAGGAGGCAACGGCGGCCAUGGCCUCAGAGGAGCCGAACUUCAUCGAACGGCAGGUAGCACUCUACGAGAGCACGUGCAGCGCUCGUGCCGGCAGCAACGCGGUCACGGUGGAGGCGGGCACGACGGCUUAGGCAAUCGCGAACGGGAACGGUUAAAUCGGCAGCUCCGUGUCACCCGUGGUUCCCGUCGGGCCACAAGGACAACGAGUCUGGCCCGUUCCACGUCCAUCUUGGACCUCACAUUGACCGACGACAUCCAAGCAACAGAAUUCGACAAGGAAGAGUAGGACAUGGGAGAAGAAGGGGUCCGUAUCCCAUGUGGGCAUGCCCGUGUCCCAUUUCUUACUCUUCAUCGCCGGUGAGCCACAACUUCAAUUUGUGAAGCUCAGGCCCGGCAAAGAUGCCGGACAUGUGGAAGACGAGACAUGGAACAAGGACGCCUCCACGGCUGGCGAAGAUUUAGACUAGAUUAACAUUUUAUGUUAAAAAAUGUCAUGUACACUUUUUAAAAUGAAAUAUGCAAAAAAUGUCAUGUAUUUAGACCGGUUUAAAGGAUCCUCCAGUUUUUUCAAAUACCGUUUAAAGUGUGUCCGGACGUUUGAUGGAUAGGGUUGAAUGGCCGACUUCUGUAUCACAAUCCGUGGACAGAUACUAAUGUCCGUUUUAGGGGAUACGUUGAAGAUACACUAGAGCCUUUUUUCUUGAAAAACUCUAGAAUGCUAUAUGACUUUUUGGAGAUACAUUUACGGAAAUGAUAAAAAUAGAAAUACCAUAUAUUAAUCUGACAAUCUGACUUGAGAUGUUUUUUAUCAGAAAAAAUAAUUUAAUUUAUUUUGAAAAUUACUUAAGCCGUUAAAUUUCUAACUUAGCAAUGAUGCUUAGCCACGUUGGAAAGAAAUGCAAUGGAAGAAAAGACAACAUUCGUUUAAGAAAAGACAAACUUCACGCAAUAUAUGUAUAAGCAGCAGAAAAGUGUGGUUCCCAUCAGCUAAGCACACGUAAUCUAGGUCUGAUCACCUCAUCCUCAUCCGAGGCAUCAAACGAUAAGCUAGACUGAUGUGUAACGUGCCCGUAUCCGGCGCCUUUUAGGUACGAGAGCGCGCGCUCGGCGAGUGGACGCAUGCAUCCGCGCGAGAACAGAAACGGCAAAGCGAUGACAACAAUAAAAUCAGCAAUACAUGCUGUACUAGUGUACUUGAUACCUUUACGAAACCACAUGCCGUGCUCGCGCCGACUGCAACGCAAUUGCGAAUGGAAAACAGCGGCAGCUCGGCAUCACCCACGGUUCCCAUCGAGCUACAACGACCACGAGUCCGGCCCGUCCACAUCUAUCGUGGAACUUACAUCGAGCGGCGACGUCCAAGCGAUGGAAUUCGACAAAGAAGAGUAGCACAUGGGAGACGGACGCGCCUGUGUCGUUGCAGGCAUGUCUGUGGCCCAUGUCUUACUCUUUAUGGCCGGCGACUACCAGCUUCACUUCCCGGAGCGCAGAACCGGCAAAGAUGCCGGACAUGGGGAAGACAGUACAUGGAACAUGGACGCCUCCACGGCUGGCGAAGAUUUCGACUAAGUUAACAUUUUAUAUUAAAAAAUGUCAUGUACACUUUUGUUAAAUGAAAUAUAUUAAAAAUGUCAUGAAAUUGGUCUGGUUUAAAUGAUCGACCGGUUUGUUCAAAUACCAUUUAAAAUGUGACCAGAUGUUUGAUGGAGAGGGUUGGAUGGCCGGCUCCAGUAUCACUAUCGUGGUUGGACACUAGGUCCGUUUUAGGGGAUAGCGCUGACGAUACCCGAAAGCCUUUUUUCUAGAGAAACACUACAAUGCUACAAGACUUUUUGAAGAUAUGUUUAUGGAAAUGUUAAAAAUAGAAAUACCUAAUAUUAAUCUAACAAUCUGACUUGAGAUGUGUUUUUAACAGAAAAAAUAAUUUAAUUUAUUUUGUAAUUUCCGUAAACCGUUAAAUUCCUAACUUAACAUUGAUGCUUAACCACGUUGGAUAGAAAUGCAUGAGAAGAAAAGACAACGUCCGUUUAAGAAAAGACAAACUUCACACAAUACAUGUAUAAGCAGCAGAAAAGUGUGGUUCACAUCAGCUAAGCGCAUGUAAUCUAGGUCUCUGUCCCUUGUGGUGUAUCAGAUGAUAAACUUGGCUUUGCGGCUCUUUUCGACCGAGGACGUGCCAUCAAAAAUAGUAAAAUCAGCAAUGAAAGCUGUACUAGUGUGCCUGACCCCUUUACGUACAGGCCAUCGCAUAUAUCUUUUGUCGUGUUAAUCAGCGAGAAACAGUGCGUGUAUAAUAGUAUAAGCUAGGAGAAAUACAACCAAACAAAAGUGAAAACGAACAAUGCAAGCUGCAAGGCGGUUCUAUACGUGCACGCCAUGAUAUAUAUUUUUUGUCAGUGUUAAUAACCACUCUCCGUUCAUGGUGAGGCGGCGUGGUUUCAGUGAGUCUGAAUCAUAUGUACACGAUGCACGACUGGAUGCCGGAGGCUGGACUGCACAAGACCCGCUGUUAAAACCCCAUCGUCUUGCACACAUCAAGCAUCCACCUCAAAGCGCAUUCACCUCCGUUCGACUGUGGUAGAGGCAUGGAAGCCGUAGCGGCAGGUGAGAACAGCAGGUUAACUGGGGUGAGAAAGAAGGGGGAUGGCAAGUUCGCCACAGCUAUCAAGCACCCGGUGAUGAAGAGGCUGUUGUGGCUGCGGACGUACCAGUCCCCCUAGGUCGCCGCGUGUGCAUACGACCUCGCGGCUAGGUCCUAGACUCUGUAUGCACUUCGUGUGCAAAAUGGACAAUCUAUUUUGAAGUAUCAGGGUUUCGGACGGAAACUCAUCUGUUACAAAGGGAGCGAGGCCCAUUGGUCCCGGUUCGUCCCACCAACCGGAAACAAAUGGGCCAGACGAACCAGGACCAAUGCCCCCACGAGGCCCGGAAGACCCCUGGCCUCACGAACCGGGACCAAUGGGCCCAUGGGUCCCGGUUGAUGACUGAACCGGGACUAAUGGGAUUAUCUGGCCCGAACGUAUGCCCUGAUUUCUACUAGUGUUGAUACCUUUACGAAACCACAUGCAGUGCUCACGCCGACUGCAACGCAAUUGCGAGUGAAAACAGCGUAGCUCCGCAUCACCCACGGUUCCCAUCGAGCCACAACGACCACGAGUUCGGCCCGUCCACAUCUAUCGUGGACCUUACAUCGACCGGCGACGUCCAAGCAAUGGAAUUCGACAAAGAAGAGUACCACAUGGGAGACGGACGCGCCCGUGUCCUUGCGGGCAUGUCUGUGGCUCAUGUCUUACUCUUUAUGGCCGGCGACUACCAGCUUCACUUCCCGGAGUGCAGAACCGGCAAAGAUGCCGGACAUGGCACUACUAGGGAAAAGCCUAGCAGCAGCGCGGGUUUUACGCCUAUCAGUAGCGCGGGCAGGAGCGCUACUAAUAAGGCGCUACAGCUAAAGCUUAGCAAUAGCAUGCCUAGACCCACACUACUGCUAAAUUGACUUAGUAGUAGCGCUUCUCCAGAAGAGCACUAGUGGUAAUUAGUGGUAGCGCUUCUCCUUGCCCGCGCUACUACUAUUAUUUAGUAUUUUAUUCUUUUUUAUUUCAUGUUGUAUUCAUACACCUUUACACAAGUUUUCAUACAACAGGAAUUUAGAGAUUGUUUUUACAUCAUAAUGAGUUAUUACAUCACGGCGUGAAAGAACCAUGGACUAGUUUCAAGUGGAUGUCCAUCCACUUGAAACUAAUUCGCGGUUCUUUCACCCAAUGAUAUAAUAAUAUCAUCAUCAUCAUCAUAUCAUUAACAACUUAUCAUCAUAAUACAUCAUUGUCAUAUAACACCUCCUCAAGAUCAACUUAGCAAACUGGUCACUAUUCAUAAUCACAAGUACUCCUCAUUAUCAACUCUAACACAUUACCACAUAAUAAACAUAUUGUACCUCAUAGGACCUACUACAUUCGAUUAAGACCUACUACAUUUUCUAAGGUAAAAUAGCAAAAAACAAGAUAGCCCCUGACUCUUCAUUAUGGAGAAUGGAGAUUAGCAUGUCUCCAAUUCUUGCCUUUCACUGAAUGUUACUUCCAAGAAUCUCCUUGCGAAUGUCCAUACAUUUAUUUCAUUCUUUGAUGAACAUGUGUUCACCGGUUUUAGAAAUCCGAUAUGCACAGGUGAGCUCCCUAGAUUUACCUGGCAGUACGUUCAGAACUAUAAGGCGACCAUUCAGAUACAUCAGAUGAGGCACACAAUCCAUCGGGAGUUUCUGUUGGAAAACAUAGUAAUAACUUCGUAGUUAGAAAUGAUGAACUAGUUUUAGAAGUAUGCAAAAGAUGCACGGAUGUCGUAAUAGUAAAAAAUCUUACCAGGGUAUCUCCAGAGAAGUUACCGUUCCACGUGCACUAGUGGCAUGUAUUCAUCAUAAUUUGGAGGAGUUCGAUAAUAGUUAUUGUAAUCCUCAAGAAGAGUACAAAAUGCGAUCAGAUAAUUUUUCUCCUUAUAAGUUAAUUCGGAGCCAUCGGUGUAGUGGGUUUUGUCUACCAUCUUCCACACAAUCUUUAAAGAAUCAAAAUAAGCUGUCAAUAGAAAUAAAUUGUCAACUAUUUUAAAAUAAACAAUAUAAAUUAGUUAAUAACUAUGUUUGAGAAACUCACAUAACGGUACAAUCGGAAGUGUAUCAACAAGUACCCAAAUGUCCAUAUUGUUUUUCUCGAUGUCAAGAUCACCAAGAUCCAUGGUGAUAAUCAUACCCUCAUAAAAACCAUACAUUUUGCAAAGUGCUUCCCAGUUUUGGCAACAAAAAUGGGUUACACUCUGAGCAUUGCACAGAUUUACUUCAAAAUCUAUAUCAUGAUUGGUCCUUAGGUGUAUUUUCUUUGUUUCAAAAUUUUCAUGGUCUUCAAAACCCAUCCUCUCCAAGACAUAGCGUCUUGCAUGGCAUGGGAUAAGCUAGUCGAAUUUUAAAAGAUGAAAAUUAGGCGUUGAAAUAGUUGAAGUCAUGCUUAAUUACGAAAAAAAACACUUGUCGUUGUUGCGUACCGUUUAAACAUCGAAGGUCUCCUCGACCUUAAUGCUGAAGCGCCGAUCUUCAUCCAGCUCAACGAACCUGUCGCACAUACCUCGAUCAUCGUGGCACCAGCUACACUCCCCCGGAAGACUGUCGUCGUCCGAGUACGACAUUUCCUACAUUCAUAAUUCAAAGAUUAAACUUGUACAUAUUCUAGCACAAGUCAUGUCAGAAUUCAUGGAAAAAUCCGGCAUGACCUUUGCUAAAAAAGGACAUAUCGAGCGCCUGAAAUUUGCCGGAACGGAAAUUAAUCAACACUCCGGCAAAACAUAGGCCACUCGGAGGUGUAACCAAAACAUGAAAUAAUUGCUUAAACUGAAAAAUAACAAAAAAUAUGACAUGUUCAACUAGUUCUAUUAAUUCAACUAGUUCUUACUAAAUAUAAACUUACUAUAAAUAGAAAAAAACUAGUUCUUUCUAAAAAUAAAGUAGUUCAACUAGUUAUUAAUUUACUUACUAAACUAGUUCAAUUAAAACUGAACUAGUUCAACUAAAACUAAACUAGUUCUAUUAAUUGAACUCGUUCUUACUAAAUAUAAACUUACUAUAAAUAGAAAGAAACUAGUACAUCUACUACUACUAAUUAACAUCUACUACUGCUAAUUAUACAACUAGUUUAUCAUCACUACUACUAAUUAAUAUCCACUACUACUAAAAAUUGUUAUCUAUGAACCCUAAAUUAACAUCUAUUACUACUAAAAUCAUCUACUAACUAAGCAAAGAGAGAGGGGGUGGGGGGCUUACAGAGGGAGAGACGGNNNNNNNNNNNNNNNNNNNNNNNNNNNNNNNNNNNNNNNNNNNNNNNNNNNNNNNNNNNNNNNNNNNNNNNNNNNNNNNNNNNNNNNNNNNNNNNNNNNNNNNNNNNNNNNNNNNNNNNNNNNNNNNNNNNNNNNNNNNNNNNNNNNNNNNNNNNNNNNNNNNNNNNNNNNNNNNNNNNNNNNNNNNNNNNNNNNNNNNNNNNNNNNNNNNNNNNNNNNNNNNNNNNNNNNNNNNNNNNNNNNNNNNNNNNNNNNNNNNNNNNNNNNNNNNNNNNNNNNNNNNNNNNNNNNNNNNNNNNNNNNNNNNNNNNNNNNNNNNNNNNNNNNNNNNNNNNNNNNNNNNNNNNNNNNNNNNNNNNNNNNNNNNNNNNNNNNNNNNNNNNNNGGGAACAGGCCGGGGGGGUGAAAGGAGGACUUAGCGAAAUUUUGAGCCGGGGGGUGGUUAAGUCGAACUAGCAGUAGCGCUCAUAAGGAAAAUGCGCUAUAGCUAACUUAUCUAUAGCGCGUUUUAGUGAAAAAUGCUACUGCUAAUGGAGGCAGUUAUUUCUUUUGUUUAUCCCAAUAUUAGUAACGCUUUGUCCUCAAAAAAUGCUCUAAGUCUAAGCAAUGUAAAAACAUCAAAAAUAUACAUUGGUCAUCAUUGAUCUUUUUGUGUAGAAUCUAAAUAGUCAACAUGAAUUCUCACUGUACCUGUAUAGGUACAGGCGAGGAUUCAUAUUGCAGCCACAAAUGAUACACAUAUAGUUCAAUGAAGACCAAGUGCUCGAGAUAGGUUGAGAAGUAACAUAUUUAAGGUGGUAAACACCUUGUUCGCUUAGCAAUAUGGGACUAAACUUAAUUAGUUGCGGUGAUACUUAGCAGUAGCGAGUUUUGAGGAAAAACGCUGCUACUAAGUACUUUAGCAGUAGCGCUACUACUAUAUCUAGCCUGAAGGCAACACCGUGGCAAUUAUAGUAGUAGCGCUCGUUUCACAUAGAGCGCUACUGCUACUUAGAUAUUAGUAGCGCUCUUUUUUGAAGCUCGCUACUGCUAAUUAGCAGUAGCGUCUGUUUUUAAACCACGCUGCUGCUAAGAUUAUGUGUAUAAGGUUUUCCCUAGUAGUGUGGGGAAGACAGUACAUGGAACAUGGACGCCUCCAUGGCUGGCGAAGAUUUCGACUAAGUUAACAUUUUAUAUUAAAAAUGUCAUGUACACUUCUGUUAAAUGAAAUAUGUUAAAAAUUUCAUGAAAUUGGUCCGGUUUAAAUGAUCGACCGGUUUGUUCAAAUACCAUUUAAAAUGUGACCAGAUGUUUGAUGGACAGGGUUGGAUGGCUGGCUCCUGUAUCACUAUCGUGGUUGGACACUAGGUCUGUUUUAGGGGAUAGCGCUGACGAUACCCGAAAGCGUUUUUUCUAGAGAAACACUACAAUGCUACAAGAAUUUUUGAAGAUAUGUUUAUGGAAAUGUUAAAAAUAGAAAUACCUAAUAUUAAUAUAACAAUCUGACUUGAUGUGUUUUUAACAAAAAAAUAAUUUAAUAUAUUUUGAAAUUUCCGUAAACCGUUAAAUUCUUAACUUAACAUUGAUGCUUAACCACGUUGUUUAGAAAUGCAUUAGAAGAAAAGACAACGUCUGUUUAAGAAAAGACAAACUUCACAGAAUACAUGUAUAAGCAGCAGAAAAGUGUGGUUCGUAUCAGCUAAGCGCACGUAAUCUAGGUGUCUGUCCCAUCUGGUGCAUUAGAUGAUAAGCUUGGCUGUCCGGCUCUUUUCGACCGAGGACGCGCCAUCGAAAAUAGUAAAAUCAGCAAUGAAAGUUGUACUGGUGUGCCUGACCCCUUUACGUACAGGCCAUCACAUAUAUCUUUUGUCAUGUUAACCAGCGAGAAAGCAGUGCGUUUAUAAUAGUAUAAGCUUGGAGAAAUACAACCAAACAAAAGUGAAAAGGAACAAUGCAAGCUGCAAGGCGGUUCUAUACGUGCACGCCAUGAUAUUUUUUUUUGUCAGUGUUAAUAACCACACUCCGUUCAUGGUGAGGCGGCGUGGUUCCAGUGAGUCUGAAACGUACGUACGCGACGCAGGGCUUGAUGCGGGAGGCUGGGCUGCACAAGACCUGCUGUUAAAACCCCCUCGUCUUGCACACAUCAGGCAUCCACCUCAAAGCGCAUCCACCUCCGUUCGACUGUGGUAGAGGCCAUGGCAGCCGCUGCGGCGGGUGAGAACAGCAGGUUAACUGGGGUGAGAAAAAGGGGGAUGGCAAGUUCGCCGCAGCUAUCAAGCACCCGGUGACGAAGACACUGUUGUGGCUGCAGACGUACCAGUCCCCCUAGGUCGCCGCGUGCUUGUACUACCUCGCGGCUAGGUGUUAGACUCUGUAUAUACUGGGUUAUUAGUGUCCCCACCUGUAAUUGUGUUGUACAUCAUUAUAUACUCUCAAUAUAAUACAAAGGUCACCUCAUGUUGGAGGUGUGCCACAAAGCCCUAAAACUCUUCUCUAAUAUGGUAUCCGACCUAACGAUCUUAUCUCUUUUCUUCCGCUCCGCCACCGCCGCCAGCCGCCACUUUCGCCUCGAGCGCCGCCGCCACUGCGGUCUCCUUCCCCGCCCUCUUGCCACCGCCCCUAUCCACAUGGAUCAUGUAUUCCUUCCACCAUCUCCCGCGCGUCUCCUCAAUGGUGGGACUACGCCAUACACGGCGGAGGGAUCACUCGGUCCCCUGCACACCCAAUCGGCGGGGUCCUUCUUCGCCAGCCAAUCGGUGGGGUCCCUCUUCGCCGGCCCGGUUUCUUCACUGUACGCCGACGUGUCUUCCUCGUCGGCCGCUGCAUCGGCGCAGUUCCAGCAACCGCCGCCGCCUCCGGCCGCCACGCACUCCUUGGUGCCUGCGCAGCCACCCCUGACUGCAUCGCAUCUGAUGAUGCACGCGGUCGCACCUGCCCCUGCUGCCUCCAUCUACACUGCAGCAGGCCCUGUCGUUGCUGACGUCGCCCAUGCGACCUAUGGCAGCCCUGGCGGCUAUCCAUUGUAUGCUGCUCCAUACGGUCCUCCGCCACCCGUGCAUCCCUCCUAUGGCGCAUACCCUGGCCAGGGCUCAUAUGCGGCUGCGCCGCCCUAUGGUGCAUCCUACGCGUACGGCGUCGCACAGGUGUACGCACCUGCCGCGACUUCGACUGCACCAAUGCCAUCUCCUAUGCCAUACAUGGAUGUUGACGUUGCUCUGGCUGCGAUCUCCUCGCCGCUGUUCCUGUUCUCGCACCUUCUUCCGGUGAAGCUCAAGCAGGAUAAUUACCUAUACUGGCGCGCUCAAGUGCUUCCUCUUCUGCGCAGCCAUUAUUUGGAGGGGUUCGUUAAUGGCACCCUACGGUGUCCGCCACCACAACAUCCGAUGUUCCACGCGUGGAUCGCUCAGGACCAAGCCAUCCUCUCAGUAAUCCAGUCUUCCCUGGGUGAGGGUGUUGCCGGGCUUGUCCUCUUCGCUGCAUCGUCUCACGAGGUGUGGGACAUCCUGGAGUCGAGUUUAUCGUCCAAGUCUAAUGCUCAGUCUAUGGCUCUUCGUGCCAAGCUUGGUGAGACCCAGAAGGACAAUGGUAUGGUGACCGCCUUCUACAACACGGUCAAGAAGUUGGCCGACACCCUUGCUUCGAUUGGAGAGCCCCUUCGCGACACCGAUUUCACGACCUUCAUCCUCGCCGGCCUCGACAGCGACUAUGACUCGCUCGCCGAGGUGAUCAAUGAACGCAAGGAGCCUAUUCGCCCUCAGGAACUCUACAGCCGCCUCCUAUCUAUGGAGCAGCGUCUCAACGCGCACCGCCCUGACAUCUNNNNNNNNNNNNNNNNNNNNNNNNNNNNNNNNNNNNNNNNNNNNNNNNNNNNNNNNNNNNNNNNNNNNNNNNNNNNNNNNNNNNNNNNNNNNNNNNNNNNNNNNNNNNNNNNNNNNNNNNNNNNNNNNNNNNNNNNNNNNNNNNNNNNNNNNNNNNNNNNNNNNNNNNNNNNNNNNNNNNNNNNNNNNNNNNNNNNNNNNNNNNNNNNNNNNNNNNNNNNNNNNNNNNNNNNNNNNNNNNNNNNNNNNNNNNNNNNNNNNNNNNNNNNNNNNNNNNNNNNNNNNNNNNNNNNNNNNNNNNNNNNNNNNNNNNNNNNNNNNNNNNNNNNNNNNNNNNNNNNNNNNNNNNNNNNNNNNNNNNNNNNNNNNNNNNNNNNNNNNNNNNNNNNNNNCUCAGCAGUAGACGGCCGCGCUUGCGCCUAUUGUACGGCCUGUGGUGCGGCCCAACCGUGCCAGCUCUAUGGCCUGCCCCGCCAUGUUACCUCCCGCUGCCAUUGCCGUUUCAAGACCGACUUCCUUGGCCUCGGCAUCAACGACAAGGGCAACGAUCGUCAAGUGAACAUGGUGCAACAGGGACACACUCCCUCCUAUCCUGUUGGUCCUUCUUGGUACAUGGAUACUGGAGCCAUAGCUCAUGUCACAAACGAACUAGGCAAGCUUAUGGUCAGCAACCCUACCGUGGGCACGACAAGGUUCACACAGCUAAUGGGGCAGGUAUGCACAUCUCGCAUGUUGGUCAGACAUCUCUUCUCACAAACACCUCUAGGUCAUUGCAUCUUAGAAAUAUUCUUCGUGUUCCCAUAGUUGAACGUAACUUACUCUCUAUUCCUAAACUUACACAGGAUAAUAAUGUUUUCUGUGAAUUUCACCCGUUUAAUCUCUUUGUUAAGGAUCGUGCUACGAGGAACAUACUUCUUAGAGGUCGCUACCGCCGUGGCUUAUAUGCUCAUGAUGCGCCCACCGCCGUCCCCGCUCCUGCUGCUGCGUUCCAAGUAUUCAGUGGUGUUCGUGUGUCUCCUUCAUUGUGGCAUUCUCGCCAUGGCCAUCCUGCAUCACCCAUUGUUCGCCAUCUUCUCCACCGUCAUUAGCUACCGUCAGAGUCUAGUAAUAAAGAUGCUGCUGUCUGUGAUGCCUGUUAGCAAGGCAGAAGUAAUCAGUUAUUUUUGUUUCUACACAUAUAGUCAAAACUCCUCUUGAGCUUGUUUUCAAAUGUUUGGGUUCCUGCCUAGCAGUCCGUUAGUGGGCACGAAUAUUAUGUCAGUUUUAUUGAUGCUUAUAGUCGCUUUACUUGGACUUAUCUUCUUAAGCAUAAGUCUGAUGUGUUCUUAAAAUUUCAAGCACAUGUUGAGCAUCUCCUUAAUCAUAAAGUCAUUCAUGUCCAGUCGGAUUGGGGGGGGGGGUGAAUACCGCAAUCUUAGUACUUUCUUUAAAAAACUUGGAAUCGCUCAUCGUGUCUCUUGCCCACAUACACAUCAGCAAAAUGGUUCAGCUGAACGUAAGCAUCGUCAUAUUGUUGAAACCGGGUUAACCUUGCUUGCUCAUAAAUCUGUCCCGUUUCGUCUUUGGAGUGAUGCCUUUACUAUAGCCUGUUGUAUCAUAAAUAGGCUUCCUUCGCGACUCCUUCAUAUGAAAACUCCACUUGAACUCUUGCUUGGUCAGAUUCCUGAUUAGACGUUUCUUAAAGUGUUCGGUUGUGCGUGCUGGCCGCUUCUCCGUCCUUAUAAUAAUCGCAAGCUUGAGUUCCGUUCUAAAAAAUGUGUCUUUCUUGGGUACAGUUUUGUUCACAAAGGGUACAAGUGCCUUCAUGUCCCGUCUAACCGUGUGUAUAUUUCAGGAGAUGUUGUCUUUGAUGAGCAUGUUUUUCCCUUUUCUGCUCUCCCACCACCUGACACCAGUUCCACACCGCCGGUGCACCCAUCCACUAUAUUGCCUGAUCAAUUUGUAGAUGCUGCACAUUCGCCCAUUUUGUUGUCUAACCAUGGUGCAAGUAUUGGGAGAUGUGCACGGCUGGAGCUCCUAGACGAGGUUGAUCCUCUGGCUCUCUCGUCCCUUCUCAAUCACGUCGAUCGGCAGGCACCCUGCAUGUCCCAUGCAACGUGCCCGUCCGUGCUCGAGACAGCGGCCUCUGCGCCGCGCGCCACCACUCUGGCCCAGCCGCUGCUUGUGCCGGCUGACGCCUCGGCCCAGUGGGUCGCCUCGUCUUCAACCACGUCCUCAGCACCGACGCCUGGGCCGUCCCCGCCUGGAAGCCCUCUGCCAUCCCCGCCGCCUGCGGGGCCCUCAUCUCCCUCUAGUGGGUCGGCGUCUCCUGCUGCGUCCACACCGUCAACUCCUCCGACUGCAUCAACGACUGUCAUGAUGGAUGUUGCGCUCUCUUCGCCACUGUCACCGCCGACCUCGCCACCUUCUCCAUCCCCUGUGUUGCAUCCUCAUACACGCAUCAAAAGUGGGUUGUUUCUUCCUAAGAAGCGCACGGAUGGCAUGGUUGCCUGGCUUGCGACAUUCAUGGUGCAAGCCCAGUCGGACCCUACUGCCGAGCCACGACACUUUUAGGCUGCCCUGAGAAUCCCCCACUGGCGCACUGCGAUGGAACAAGAAUAGGCUCUUCUCAAGAAUGACACAUGGUGUUUGGUUCCUCCCAAGUCUGGUGUCAACGUCAUUGAUUCCAAGUGGGUUUUCAAGGUAAAGAAACAUGUCGACAACUCUAUCAAGAGAUACAAGGCUAGACUGGUUGCUAAAGGCUUCAAGCAGCGCCAUGGCCUUGACUACGAGGAUACACAGAACGAUGGUCAAACCUACCACUAUCCGGCUUCUGCGCUCAUUGGCUCUUACUCGCGGAUGGUCUCUUCGUUAGCUUGAUGUUCAGAAUGCUUUCCUUCAUGAUGUCCUUGAGGAGGAGGUUUACAUGCGUCAGCCUCCUGGUUUUGUUGAUCCAGCUCGUCCGCAGCAUCUGUGUUGUCUUUUGUGUUGUCUUGUUAAGGCGCUCUAUGGUAUGAAGUAGGCUCCGCGUGCUUGGCAUGCACGUCUUGGCACUACUCUUCGGGCUCAUGGGUUUGAUCCCUCUAUGGCUGAUACUUCACUAUUUCUUCUUCAGCGUCCUACAAUUACUAUGUAUUUGUAGGUCGACGUUGAUGAUAUCAUCCUUGUCAGCUCCUCGGACUAUGCUGCGGAUCGCUUGGUGUCUGCUUUGAGUGGUGACUUUGUUAUUAAGGAUCUUGGGAAGCUUCACUAUUUCCUUGGGCUGGAGGUUCUGCACUCUGGUUCUGGCUUGACACUUACUCAACAGAAGUACUCUCCUGAUAUUCUUCCACGGGCUGGUAUGCUACAGUGCAAGACGGCUACUACACCUAUGUCCUCUACUGACAGAAACUCUGCUCUCGAUGCUUCUCUUCUCUCAGUUGAUGAGGCUACUGAGUAUCGCAAUAUUGUUGGUGGCUUGCAGUACUUGACCAUCAUCCGUCCUGAUGUCUCUUAUGCUGUCAACCGUGUCUGUCAGUUUCUUCAUGCACCUCGAGAUUCUCACUGGAUUGCGGUUAAGCGCAUCUUGCGCUAUAUUCAGUUAACUGCUUCUUAUGGCUUGCAUCUGCAACCGCCCCCCUCUGGAGUUCUCUCCGUGUUCUCUGAUGCAGACUGGGCUGGGAGUCCUUAUUUCUUGGUUCCAACUUGAUCGCCUGGGGUGCUUGUAAACAAGCAACAGUGUCCUGCAGUAGCACUGAAGUUGAGUACGAAGCAGUUGCAAAUGCCACAGCUGAACUUAUUUGGAUACAAUCUUUGCUCCAGGAGUGGAAGAUCUCUCAAAAGCGAUGUAUUUGUCUUCAAAUCCAUUCUUUCAUGCUCGCGCCAAACACAUUGAAGUUGAUUACCAUUUUGUCAGGGAACGUGUUGCCCAGAAACUGCUUCUUAUCAAGUUCAUCUCCUCAAAGGAUCAACUUGUUGACAUCUUCACAAAGCCGCUGCCUCUUCCUUAGUUUGAAGCUUGUAGGCGCAAUCUCAACGUAGUGAAUUCUUCAGAGCACGGUUAAGAUUGAGGGAGGGUGUUAGACUCUGUAUAUACUGGGCUAUUAGUGUCCCCACCUGUAAUUGUGUUGUACAUCAUUAUGUACUCUCUAUAUAAUACAAAGGUCACCCCACGUUGGAGGUGUGCCACAAAACCCUAAAACUCUUGUCUAAUUCUAGGGAGCUGAAUGGCGCAAAGGAAAAGCUCAACUUCCCCUACCCUCUAUCGGCGAGAAUGGUUAAGGAGGUGAUAUCUGCACUGAGGCACCGCAGCCACGGUCACGACACACUGCUCUUUCAGAUCGUUAUGUUGCCACCAGACCCCACAACACCACCUCCACCGCCGCCCAAGCUGGUAGUUUACUUUCCCUUCCCCUUUGAAGCGCCCGCAGGCGACAACCCACCGGUGCCAGCAUAUCCUUUCCUGCACAUGCCGCUUCCGGCACGAGCAUGUCUCGUUCUGCAGCCGACUCACAUGCACGCACCUGCUCCACAGCCACAACAACCGAUCCGACAGAUGCAGAUCGUGGCGCAAGCGGAAAGCUGCUUAAGCUCCUCAAGUGAACCCCUAGGGGCUCUGUCUCACCACCUGGUGUUCAAGAAACCCAAGUUGUUCGUCAUUCCCGUCACUCCUAGUGCUCCAACAGAAGGGACUGAUGAUAAUUUCACCAAUCAGUGGUAUUUCCCUGAUUCUCCUACCGCUUAGCCUCGGCCUAGCGCAAUAUGCACCGAGAUCCCAUAGUCGUGUGCCAUCAUAAUCCAGAGGCAAUCUGAAUCUAUCUAUCAUAUAAGUUACAAAUGUAUUUUCAUUGUUGUUCUCAUGUGUGGCUACCAUGUAUUGGGUUUACUGUUGUGUUGUUUAUCAUCAUGUUGUUUCCUUUUACCAAUCAUGUAAUCUGUUCACUCUUGUCUUGUGUUUUGUUUUGGUGUGGG
rnacentral:lncRNA from 1 species